rnacentral:tRNA from 1 species
CGGCGCGUAGCUCCUAACUGGCUAGAGCAGUCGGUCGAUAACCGACAGGUUGGAGGUUCGAGUCCUCCCGCGCCGA